GACGAACGCUGGCGGCGUGCCUAAUACAUGCAAGUUGAGCGAUGAAGAUUGGUGCUUGCACCAAUUUGAAGAGCAGCGAACGGGUGAGUAACGCGUGGGGAAUCUGCCUUUGAGCGGGGGACAACAUUUGGAAACGAAUGCUAAUACCGCAUAAUAACUUUAAACAUAAGUUUUAAGUUUGAAAGAUGCAAUUGCAUCACUCAAAGAUGAUCCCGCGUUGUAUUAGCUAGUUGGUGAGGUAAAGGCUCACCAAGGCGAUGAUACAUAGCCGACCUGAGAGGGUGAUCGGCCACAUUGGGACUGAGACACGGCCCAAACUCCUACGGGAGGCAGCAGUAGGGUAUCUUCGGCAAUGGACGAAAGUCUGACCGAGCAACGCCGCGUGAGUGAAGAAGGUUUUCGGAUCGUAAAACUCUGUUGGUAGAGAAGAACGUUGGUGAGAGUGGAAAGCUCAUCAAGUGACGGUAACUACCCAGAAAGGGACGGCUAACUACGUG
rnacentral:rRNA from 1 species